rnacentral:lncRNA from 1 species
UUCAUUCUCAAAGCAGCCCUACGACAUAGGUCCUACCGUUAUCCUAUUUUAUAGGUGUUUGAGGUGACACACUGUUACACAAGGACCAUGUGACUUCAGGCACCCUGGAACUCAGGAAGAGAAAGCCCUCCCUCAUGAAGCACAUGCCACGCCAUCUGAUCACAGCGAGGACCUUCCAUGAUGUGUAAGUUGACUGCAGAGUGAAGAAGCCAAAAGCUAGCGUGGACAGGAUGGCCUCUCACAGGUGGACAUAGCAACCCCAGGAAACACCUCUGACCCAGACGGAUGGGAACUGGCUCCACCAUCUGAAGUUUCCAUAGUCUCUUGAACAGCGCCACCUGCUGGAGACAGAGUCUUCAGGCACACGAACCUCUCUCAGGGUUGGGAUUCCACAUCCAAACCGCAGAAGCUGGUCUUGCCAGCCUGCUGUCAGCCUCUCAGCUCUGGCCACUCCAUCCAAGGACCGCUGCUGUCUGCUAGCAGGGUGAGGAAGAUUUAAGAUGUCAUCUGUCCCCAUCAGUGCCCUAAGUAUACAGGGCUGAGUGGUUGCUCUCAAGCUGUUCCCACCGGG